rnacentral:lncRNA from 1 species
AGAAACUGUAUGAAGCCAUGAAGGUACUGCUCUGCUUAGAGACUUUAUUUAAAGGAGAAAUCACCUGCAAAUAGAAGAGCAGAGAUCUUUUUGCUUGAAAAUUGCAUUAUAUAUAUUUCCUUUGCAGAAAAUUAUUGCUUUAUUCAAUUUUGAAGGGAAGCACGCUACUGCGUUAGAAUAAGCUUGUUGGAUUCGGUGCACUUUUAGAAAAGGUAUAUGUAAAUAUGAUUAUGAGGUGAGCUAGCAAGAAGUUCAUUGGUGAUUUACAAUUUACUUAACACCCAAAUCACCAAAAGAAGAGUGGUACAAUUCCCUUUUUAAUAACCUAUGUCAACUGAGGUUGAGAACUUUAUAGUAUUCCACUUUCUAGCUUUCUUUUGACUUGCUAACGAUGGCUUUCAUGCCGUAGACUCAGUGAUAUUUUAAAAUAUCAUUCUGUGAUUAGAGAAGUCUAAGGUGGUAUUGAGAUGCAUCUGAGAUACUCGGACCGUUUCAUUUUUACAUCAUCAAGCAAGGAGGUGGCUGUACAGCAGAUUGCCCCAGCACUUGUAUUCUGUAAUGUGAAGACAGGAGUUAUGACAAGAUCUUCCCUUUGUAACCCAUGUAUAUGGGAGCCUUAAGAGACAGAGACAGCCAUGGAAAGAGCUAACAACUUGAUUAAUUGAGGAGCUCUGUGAAAUGAUAUGCAUGUUUCUCAUUUUUAUCAAUUCAGGCAGGCACAAUCAAUAUACUUGAAUAUUAAUGAAUUUUCCCUCCAUCCCCCAUGCCAACUGUUUUCUUUUCUGUGUAAUAUUAAGAUAAGUAAUGGCAAAUGUCUGGGUAAGAAAUAAGGAGAUAUGUGCCAAGUUUCAGAAGUCAUUAGUGCUUUUUGGGAUAUAAUCUAAAACCUUAAGUUCAGGCAAGUGACAUAAUUCAGCAGAUAAAAGCACUGGCCAUCAAAUCUGAGAUCCAGUACCUUCGUUGAGUGCUUUCCUACAUGUCGUGAAAUCAUGAUCUGUCUACAUAGGGUGCUGGAACUCGCCAUAAGACAUUGAUCAGGAUUAUGGUCUCCCGUUCGGAAAUUGACAUGAAUGAAAUCAAAGUAUUUUACCAGAAGAAGUACGGAAUCCCUCUCUGCCAAGCCAUCCUGGAUGAAACCAAAGGAGACUAUGAAAAAAUCCUGGUGGCUCUGUGUGGAGGAAACUAAACAUCCCAACUGCUCUGUAAGAUUCCGAGGAGAACAUCUCUUAGCCGUUGUUUUCUUCCUAUUGCAAGGCUUAAGUAGGAAAGUUGCUUUGUCAGUAAGUCUAAUUACCUUCUUUGAAUAAUGUAGCCUAUAAAUAUGUUUUAGAUCAUUCAUCUGUACAAUAGAGAAAUACUUGUUUUGUUAAUUAUGUUUAUCCCAAAUUAUAAAUCCCUGUAAGCAAGUCACUUUGGUACCAUUCCUGAGAAAGAAGUUUACAUAGAAUAAAAUAAAACAAUUUUAUAAGAC